GCCUGCAUAGUGUUUGAUUAAAUGCCACUGAUAAAAGUUUGAAUGCUAUUUGCUUUUGAACUUCCUAUAUCAACUUCUAAGUUGUUCACAUUUAGCAUGAUUUAUGGGUGGGGUUACUAAUCCUUACUCCCCAACCCCAACUUUGUUGUUUUUGUUUCAAACGUUGCAAUAUUAAUCUUUGCUAAAUGUUUCAAAACUAUUAUUGUUUUCAAGGAGAUGCUUUUAAUUGCAACAAAUCAUUAUUGGGUUUUGAACUAAAUUAUGGGUGGAUUGUAUGAACUCAACAAAAGAAGAUGUCAACCCAUUUACUUUCUCAGUUAACCUUCCUUUUAUGAACCCAAUCUCAGUUUGUCAUCUGGGAGAAGAGUUAUUUAUUUAUUUAUUAAAUGCAACAUGGGAAACGGUUAUUUGUAUAGUUUUAGCCAUUUCACUAUAAGAAAUUUAUGAGAAAUAAUAUACCUUAAAUAAUGGGCGCCGAACGUCUGAAUUGUCAUUGUUAUUCAAGCAUGGAAGUUCUUCUGCCUUUGCAAAUUCUCCCUAGAAAUGCAUCAAAAAAGAGAAUAGAGGCUUGAUCGAUUCAUAAUUUUCGUUCCAUGUCUAAGUGGAAGAAGAGCAUGCUUCAAAAUUAAAUCCACAGAUAUUUAUCUUUCUUUUCUGGGUUGGCUCUCAUUUUUUGGAAUUGAAGCAAUCUUUUCAUGGCUAAUUUGCCACCAAGUAGAGCUCCAAUGGAUACUGACCUUGUAAAAACACGCUGGGAAUUUUUCUUCUUAAUUAUCUGAGUAAAGAAAUAAAGCAACACGAGACCAACGCCUGAGAUGAAGAAACUCGACGCUGCGGCACCAGCUCUUGGUCCAUAUUUGGUUUGGACAUUAAAUUUUUGAUAAAAGUUUUUCAGUAUCUGAAAAAAGUCUCUUACAGAGUCUAAUGAGGAAUGUGACAUUCUGGAUUGUGUCAACAGGAAUCAAAGCUUAAAUCUAUCUUCCAAGAACAGAGAAGUUGGGAUCAUGGUGCCGAAAGAGGGCGAACAACAAUGAUUUUUAAAUAUAAUUUGUAUAGGGAAAGAAUGAAACUCUUGUAGAGGAAAGAAUCAUUCUUUGCUUCAGUCUUGCAUUUUUUUUUCUUUACUGCAUGGUGGGUUAGGAAGCUAGAAUGCAAUUUUUAUCAGGAUUUACUCUCUGUUUGAUAGAAAUUGUAAAAUGUUAGCCUUUGAUACGGUUCAAGCUUCUUUUCUUCCAUUGAAAUAUUGAGGUUAGUUGUAUUGAAGUA